GGUAGCGUGGCCGAGUGGUCUAAAGCGCUGGAUUUAGGCUUCAGUCUCGUGGGGGGCGUGGGUUCAAAUCCCACCGCUGCCA